rnacentral:rRNA from 1 species
CUUAUCCUUACCAUCGAUUCCGCUACCUCUACGGGAGGCAGCAGUGGGGAAUAUUGGACAAUGGGCGCAAGCCUGAUCCAGCCAUGCCGCGUGUGUGAAGAAGGUCUUCGGAUUGUAAAGCACUUUAAGUUGGGAGGAAGGGCAGUAAGCGAAUACCUUGCUUUUGACUUACCCACAGAAUACACCGCACU